rnacentral:rRNA from 1 species
CCUACGGGUGGCAGCAGUAGGGAAUAUUGCUCAAUGGGGGAAACCCUGAAGCAGCAACGCCGCGUGGAGGAUGAAGGUUUUCGGAUUGUAAACUCCUUUUGUUAGAGAAGAUAAUGACGGUAUUUCACGACUAAGCACCGGCUAACUCCGUGCUGGCAGCAGCGGUCAUACGGAGGGUGCAAGCGUUACUCGGAUUCACUGGGCGUAAAGGGGGCGUAGGCGGGGAAGCAAGUCAGAUGUGAAAUCCUAUGGCUUAACCAUAGAACUGCAUUUGAAACUGUUAUUCUAGAGUAUGGGAGAGGUAGGUGGAAUUCUUGGUGUAGGGGUAAAAUGCGUAGAGAUCAAGAGGAAUACUCAUGGCGAAGGCGACCUGCUAGAACAUAACUGACGCUGAUGCGCGAAAGCGUGGGGAGCAAACAGGAUUAGAUACCCUUGUAGUC